rnacentral:rRNA from 1 species
CCCGGGNCCCGGCGGACGACGUGGNNAGCCGGCCUGAGAGGGCGACCGGCCACACUGGGACUGAGACACGGCCCAGACUCCUACGGGAGGCAGCAGUGGGGAAUAUUGCACAAUGGGCGAAAGCCUGAUGCAGCGACGCCGCGUGAGGGAUGACGGCCUUCGGGUUGUAAACCUCUUUCAGCAGGGAAGAAGCGAAAGUGACGGUACCUGCAGAAGAAGCGCCGGCUAACUACGUGCCAGCAGCCGCGGUAAUACGUAGGGCGCAAGCGUUGUCCGGAAUUAUUGGGCGUAAAGAGCUCGUAGGCGGCUUGUCACGUCGGAUGUGAAAGCCCGGGGCUUAACCCCGGGUCUGCAUUCGAUACGGGCUAGCUAGAGUGUGGUAGGGGAGAUCGGAAUUCCUGGUGUAGCGGUGAAAUGCGCAGAUAUCAGGAGGAACACCGGUGGCGAAGGCGGAUCUCUGGGCCAUUACUGACGCUGAGGAGCGAAAGCGUGGGGAGCGAACAGGAUUAGAUACCCUGGUAGUCCACGCCGUAAACGUUGGGAACUAGGUGUUGGCGACAUUCCACGUCGUCGGUGCCGCAGCUAACGCAUUAAGUUCCCCGCCUGGGGGAGUACGGA